AAUAUCCCGGCAGGAAAUAAGUCUGUCUCUCUGCACAGUGGUGUUGAACGUGGAAAGACCUUGUUCUUCGACUCGGACAUAAUUACCGGCUCUUAAGAAAUGAGCUUCAAGUUUAGGGUUUUUCCCCGCUUCUCUCUCUCUCUCUCUCUCUCUCUCUCCCUCCCUCCCUUCCUUCCUCCCCUUCACUCUCAAACCUUGACUUUAAAAAUUAGUAUCAAGACUCACUUGGCAACCUUUCAGUGGCUAGUGGAAACCCUGGAUGUCACAACUAGCAAUUUCAGCCAUUUAGUGUCUUUUUUUUUUUGGUAUCCAUUGUUAUACAUAAAUAUAGAAUCUUACAGCAAGGAAUCAGAGUUGUCCUAUUGAAUUCACUAUAGCCAAGGAGAGCCAACAGAUGAAGGCCAGGUCCCCUGUAUUCUGCAAGAAUCUUGCUUGAGCAAAAAGUCAAGCAGAUGAACUUCUACCAGAAGGGUGGUGCUGCAACUGGGAAGGCAUGGAGAUAGGCAAAGAAGGUUUGUCUCCUUGCAGGUUCUAUUCAGAGAGCUUCCAAGGCAAAAGAGAGCCAGUGCAGGCUCCAUCACGUGGGUGCCAUGUGCUCCUGAUUGUUCCCUGCUCCCUCUGAAGAACUGAUCACCAGUCUGCUAAGCAGCUGCAAGUUCGGAAUUUCAUCUGUGUCCUCUGGUCUGAAGCCAUAAGCCGAAUAAAUGCAACCAAAACAUUUGACUUGUACACCAUACCUGCCUACAGGCCCAAAAUGUUUGUUGAAAUUUGGGCAAAGGAGAGAGAGAGAGAGACCAUCCCGAAGAAUGCUGUAACCUGGAGACCCUGUGAUACAUAUCUCCAUGGCAACAAUGAGAACAUGCAAUUAGCACCCCAUGGUAACUGAACAGCGUUACUGCUCAGAGAAUGGCACCAGUUCUAAUAUACUGUUUUGGGUUUAAUUUCAGUUUCCCUGGAUUUGUGGCCUCCAUAAUCUUUCUGUAUCAUAAUCUGCUCUGCUUCAUACUCAGAAAUGUUUUUGUGCUGCUUUACCCAGGAGCCACUUUGACUGCAUAGCCCUGAGUGGGCCAGUUCACAGCAUUGGUCUCUCCUGCUAUAUGGCUUCAGGCUUGUUUCAAAUUUUUAAAGGGAAACACCAUGGGUUGCCCCUUUUGAGGGUACUUCCAAGCUCGAGCCCAAAUGUUAAAAUAAUCUGUUCUCAAGAGAUAAUUAUGAAGUGUCCUUGUGAAAUAAAACAAGUCUUCUACAUUGUCCUCUGAGAAGAACAGGAAGCCUGUAAAAUGUUGAAGCUUUAGCAUGUUAAAAAGAAUUCCUUCCCUUCGAUUAUGCUGAAGCUAAUCUCCAACUGUUACAUACAUACAUACACACACACAUAUAUAUAUCUAUAAUUAGUUCAGUGAUUAGUUUUACUAACGAAUCCCUAUUCCUGUCGCCCCCACCCCAGCUCCAGUGGAUCAUCUUGAUGAGUACUACUAAGCAAACAGCGAUGUUCGCACUGGAGUGAAUCUGUUUAAUCAAUUAAGGCAAUCAGUUUUGGUCCUUUGCAAAUUUCAAUUGUAAGAAGAAAACAAAGUCUUUCAUUAGCAGGCCUGUAAUCCAAGUAAAUACUGUAUAAAUAUAUAUUAUCCUUCUGAAUAAUGAGAAUGUAUAUUGGGCCACCGCAGCAGCCCAAGCACAGCAUCAACAACAUGUUCACUAUUAAGAUUAGAAGGGCAUCUGGUGGUACUCCAUUGUAUAUCCAAUCGAGCUUGUCUUAAGCCAGCAUCACAAACCUUGGUCCCUAUUGAUUAUAAUGAGAGUCCUGCUGUAAAAGUACCCCAUUGCUAAUGUUUCCCAUCUUUCUGUUUACAGCCAUGUCCAUCCAGAUGCCUUUGGGAAGCCCAGAAGUAAAGGCAACUGUCCCUUCAAGUGGUUUGUCAAAUGAACUUUCAUAUUUAGAUAUAUACUUCCUCUGAGCCUGGAGGUUCUAUGGAGCCGUUCUGGCUAAUAGUCCUAUUGUCCAUUAACCUGUCUACAAGAAUUAGUGGCUGUUCACAAAUAAAAAGGGGUGGAUAGCUUGAACCUCCUGGGUCUGUUCCUGUAAUGGUGAUGCCUUCUUUCUGCACAAGGAGCCUUCCCUUGUCAUAACGGGGUAAGGUUUUUUGGCACCAGGGAGGUACCACCAUUAGUAAAUCAACAGUAGAUAGCUCCAAAUAAUUUUGUAAAAUAAUAAAAAAAAUGGUUAUCAUUUGUGUAAAAUAACUGCUGGAUUAAAAAAGAUUUAGUGUGGAGGUAAAUUCCUGUAAUUAGAACCUUUACCAAAUGUAGCUGUCAAAAUGAAUGAGGAAAAAAAAAUCAUGCUAAUUCGAACAGCAUUCUGAUCAGGGAAUGAAACACUUCAGAUAACUAAAUUGAAUUUCUAACUGGAGCUAAAUUCUUCAGGUUGUGUAAUUUUGGGAACCUUCUGCAUGUACAGGUACUUAAUUAAAUUGAACAUAAUCUAAUUUCAGAAGAUUUUGAUAAGCCAUCAUUUACUGUUGAUAAAAACUAAAUAUAUAUUGUUAUAGUAGAGUACAUUGGAAUGACAAAGCAGAGCGACACAAUGUCCACAUCCAGAAAUAUAUCUCACCCCUUGUAAGGCUCUCCUUAAUCCUUUUUUUUUAAAAAAGGUAGGGGUUCUUCUGAAAUCCCCAGGGGAUUUGGUGCUGCCGAAAGUAUCUCAAUGAAAAGAUAGAUUCUUGCUUUCUUGUCUCAUACAAAGUGCAAGUAUUUCCUUGCUUGCACUACAUUUCUGGAACUAUGAUCUCUCCAUAAAAUAAAAAUCAGUACAUCAAAUAUUCACUAGCGCUGAAGAAAAAUAUGGUUAGCACUGUCUAAACAUGGAUUUUUACAUAUUUAAAAAUCAUUCAUCCCCUUCCCCAUGGAGUUUUGGUUUACUGUAUAAGGCUGUGUUUUGAACUGUGUGUUUUAGCCAGCCCAGUCCUCACCCCAUGAAUGGUAAAAUCGUUACAUUCAUGCCAAAGCAAAACAGGCUUUGAGACAGAAGAAGAAAACUUUUGAAAAAAAACCCUUAGAUAACUGAAUUCACCGUACAUGAUCCAAAUUAUUUAUAAUCAUGUGAUGUUUGUGGAGUUUUGUGUUGGACCUUUUCAUGUGGCCAGCCCUCGUAUACAGUCAAUCAUAUAGCAAUCCCUCCAAGAAGCUGACCUGAGCAUGUUUUGCAAGGAAGGAAAAGGAUAAAUUCUUAGAUUGUAACAGUGCUUGGUUGUCCUAGUAAGGGUUGCUGUGUGCAUGCAGAAUGUCUUGUUUUGUAUUGUGUGCGUGUUUUUUUUAACUUCCAACAAAUAAAAUAUUAACAUGAUUAAGAAUUUAGAUUGACAUUUCAGGCAGAGAAGAACUGUAGGAGGUGACGACAGGCAGAUGAUGUGCGUUUGAUCUGGUACUUUUCAUCUGCGCCACCAUUUUAUCAGUGACUGUAGGAGUGAAACAAAAUGGCGGUUGCUCCUACUGUGCCACAGUGAUUAGAUGGAGGUGUUAACAUGGAAAUCCUUGGGAGGACAAAAACUAAAGAAAGGGCUGUGACUAAUAGGGAGGGGACGUUGGAAUAAGGGAUCAAUUAAUUCUUUUCACAUUACAGAUUUUUAAAAACUAGCUUGCGCAGAUGAAAGCAUGUGCCUUUUGCUUAGGGAUUCUGCCUUUUAACCUGGCACUUCUGAGGAAGGACAUCACAAAGCUAGAGAAGGUACAGAAACAGAUGACUAAAAUGAUCCAGGAGAUAGAGGACAAGAGAUUGGGGCAAAGAAGGAAGGCGGAAAGGCUAAAAUAUUUAGAAUUUAUUCAAUUAAGGGGAAAAGAUGAAUUGGGGAGGGGAAUGACAGAGGUUUAUAAAAUUGGGAGCAGGGUGGAAAAUGUAUUAGACAGAAAUCUUUCUCUGCAUCUAUCUAAUAAUAAAAUUCAGCUGGGUUUAGGGUCGAGACAAGGAAGCACUUAUUCACACAAUGUUGGUUAGUUGCUGUUAAGAGCAGUUAUGUAAGUGGUUUCCUAAUUUGGCUAGUGUACCAUGGAUUAUUGUGGGCAUAUUCUGACAUAACCACCUCUGCAUGUUAUGGUUUCUCGGUGUUACUAAGAUAAUUCUUUCAUGCCACAGAAAGGAAACCUUGCCCAUUCUCUUUGUACUUUCUGA